AAGGAAGGUUCGUUGCGCGGCUAUUGUGAAGUUCGUGAAGCGCAAUGGGAUAGGCAUCUGGUAAACUGGUAUGGGAAUAAAUUUGGUCCAACUUUAUAAAUCUGUUUUUGAGAAGUUUCAUUCCAUGAUGGUGUAGUUUCUGCAGCCAAUAUGCAAGGUUAUAGGAGACAGUGAAAGCAUGAAGAAAAAAGCAUUUAGUUCUUGAUAUGGUAUUGAGUUAAAUAUUGUAUCUC